GCCAGACCCACUGGAAACGCUGCUCCUUUGAAAACCUGUUGCCACCGGCUGCAAGCACAGGCUGAUGAUAAACAGAAGGAGAGGUGAAUUCAGCAUCUCUUCUGGAACGGGGAACAUCUGCCUCCAAAUACACCCUCAAAGACCAGCUGGUGCUCCAGCCCCCUACAGUUUUGCAGAUGCCAGGUUCACGGAGGUUGCGGGAAUCCAUCCAGAAUGCAAGAUAUUCCAGCAAGUAGUGAAAGAGGAGGCACUCUGCCUAGAAAAGAAUGAAUCUGUUUCAUCUGAUUUUAAAGCUCUUGACAAUUUUAGAUUCGCCUUGUCAUCAGUCACAGAGGAAACAGAAAAGAAUCGGUGAAGGAAAAUAACACCUCCCAAAUGAAACUCAUGCACUGUUUUAUAUCUGCCUUAUGACUACCUAGAGAUUAGUUUCUGUUACAACAUGGUGCUUUUUUAUUGGUUCAGGCACCUUUACAUGCUGAUAAUUUUUCUGUGCUUCACCCACACCUGCUUGACAAUUGACACAGCAUGACUGCAGCUUGAGUGUCAAUGUGAUGCAUCAG
rnacentral:lncRNA from 1 species